UGUCUUUUUGAUUAUAAUUUAAAGUCUAAUCUGCCCAAUGAGUAAUUAAAUGGCCGCGGUAUUUUGACCGUGCAAAGGUAGCAUAAUCAUUAGUUUUUUAAUUGAAAGCUGGUAUGAAUGAUUGGAUGAGAAAAUUACUGUCUCAAAUUAAUUUAUAUAGAAUUUUAUUUUUAAGUUAAAAAGCUUAAAUGUAAUUUAAAGACGAGAAGACCCUAUAGAGUUUUAUAAAUAUUAAUAUUAAAAUUUUUAGUUUUUAGUAUCUUAAUUUUUAAGAAUUUAUUUUGUUGGGGUGAUGGAAAAAUUUAUUAAACUUUUUUUUAUUUUUUACAUUAAUAAAUGGUUUAUUGAUCCAUAAUUUAUGAUUAAAAGAAUAAAUUACCUUAGGGAUAACAGCGUAAUUUUUUUUAAGAGUUCUAAUCGAAAAAAGAGAUUGCGACCUCGAUGUUGGAUUAAAGUAUAUUUUUGGUGUAGAAGCUAAAAUAUUAGGUCUGUUCGACCUUUAAAAUUUU
rnacentral:rRNA from 1 species